UUCCCUUGGGCAGGAAUGAGUGCCUUUGGUGGCCAUCUGGCCCAGCCUCUCUCAGUCGCUCCAGGUGGUUCUGUAAAGCAUCAGGGACGCCUGGCUGGCACACUGUUUAGUGAGAGAGAUGCCUUGCAGGGAUUCGCCCACAUCUUCCAUUCCGUUGGUUAAAAGCUGCAGCGGAUGGUUGUUGGUGGGACUCAUGUCAGAGUAGACACCGGUAAAAACUGGCUCAUUCUGGCUUUUUCCCUCUGUGAGAGGGAAAGAAAUAAUCAGUGUGUGAGCGGAGCUAAGGGUUUCUGGCCCACGCCGAGGAAUUUGGCCACGUGUGCCCUGGGAGGUACCGCCAGCCACUUGGAGCCUCUGAUCCUGAGGGAGCUCGUCCUGGACUCUGAGUCCUGCAGACCACCCCGUUCCCACAUCAUCUGGCUGGACUUUAUGGUCCUUUUAACUUGGGGAACUUCAUACCCUCCACCACCAGAGGAAAAAAGUCUCAUGGAGAACCCAGGAUCAGAAUUCACAUGAGGAGUGACAUUAUCUAUUUCCUGUUGAUCAAAGCUCUGUUUCUGCUGGUAGCCUCCAGUCAGUCCUGGUGGAUGUUCCUGGGCUGUGUGUCUUUCACAGUGAUCUCCUCUGGUCCCCCUGGAGCACCUGUGGGUCUUAUCGCCGCCUCUUCUGCACAGACGGGCAAGCUGAGGCUUGCAGGUGCCGCCAGCCGCUGGGCAGUCCCACGGCAGGAGCUGGAGUCGCCCUCCUUCUGGGCCCUUCCUGAGUCCUCCCGGCCUUCCUCCCACCGUGUGGGGCUGCAGCCCUUCCACACGGCCCUCAGAGCCGUCUCCUGCCCUCCGGUCUCAUUCCCAUCCAGGCCUCUUCUUUGCGCGAGCAGAUCCGAGCCCGCUGGGACACGGGCAGCAAGGCCCGGCUCCUCUCCGUCACAUGGAAGGUGCUUCUUAGUGUCGAUCCCACUUCUUUGCUUCGACAAGCCCUGAAGUGCCACAGUCACCUCCCCCGCUAUUUCCAGUUCUCCCCCAUCACUGUUGGUGUUUCUCUUCUGGUCAUAAUUAGGUUGAGAACAGUGAUCGCUUCCCAAGCUUCUCUGCACCUCUGAGUCUAACAUU